rnacentral:rRNA from 1 species
UACGAAGGGGGCUAGCGUUGCUCGGAAUCCCUGGGCGUAAAGCGCACGUAGGCGGAUCUUUAAGUCAGGGGUGAAAUCCCCAGGCUCAACCUUGGAACUGCCUUUGAUACUGGGGAUCUCGAGUCCGGAAGAGGUUGGUGGAACUGCGAGUGUAGAGGUGAAAUUCGUAGAUAUUCGCAAGAACACCAGUGGCGAAGGCGGCCAACUGGUCCGGUACUGACGCUGAGGUGCUAAAGCGUGGGGAGCAAACAGG